UAGCCACCCCAGGGAGCACCAGGUGACCAGGCGAGGUGCCUGCCAGGCGCAUUGUGUUCAUUGCUUUUUUUUUUUUUUUUUUUUUUUGAGACAGAGUCUUGCUCUUUCGCCCAGGCCGGAGUGUAGUGGCGCUAUCUCGGCUCACUGCAAGCUCCGCCUCCCGGGUUCACGCCAUUCUCCUGCCUCCGGCUUCCAAGUAGCUGGGAAUACAGGCGCCCGCCACCACGCCCGGCUAAUAUUUUUGUAUUUUUAGUAUAGACAGGGUUUCACCGUGUUAGCCAGGAUGGUCUUGAUCUCCUGACCUCGUGAUCCGCCCGCCUCGGCCUCCGAAAGCGCUGGGAUUACAGGCGUGAGCCACCGCGCCCGGCCAUUGCUUUCUUGCAGCAACUGGGGAUUGUUGAUUCGGGACCCCUAGUCGGAGGGUGAUUUACACGUCAGUUGCAGCGCGUUGGUCAAUGUUCCAGGCUGUCAGCUCGGCACCGCCCUCAGGGCUCAAGCUACACAGGGCAUUGAAAGCAGGAAUUCUGUCAUUACAGCCCCAGGAAAAUGGAAGAAGAGGAAAAUGAAAAAAGACAAAAGGGAUAUGAUGCUGGGCAAAAUCCCACCAAAAUCAGACGUAGGAAGGAAUCCAGCCCUUUUGCCCAGUAGAAUUAUGGGGGAAAAGGAGAAGCAAAUGGCGAGACACUUGAAUUCCAAGCUCUCCUCUUGAAGUGGAAGCCGUAGAGAAAGGAGGCAUGUUAGGUUGAAGAAAGAUGGUGAGGUUCCCAGAGACUAGCCACUUCAGGAAGCUCUUCUUACCCUUCGGGAUAAAGGGAGCAGAGAAGGAAAAAGCAGAGUCCAUGGAAUCAUGGGGACACACAGCAAUGCCAGAGACUUCUUGCCAAAGCAAGGAGCGAGCAGGGAAGAAAAGCUCCCACCUCUCACCUUCCAAACCUCAGGCUCCUGCUGGUGUCUCCCAUUAACCAAAACCACAGACACCAACCAGCAAGAAAGCCAGGGACCUAGAGUCAGUAGGGGUAAAUAGAGCCUUUCAGGACACGGAGAAGGGCAGGCAAAGGCACAGAUGGGUGUAGCCAGGGGCAGCAAGGGGAGAAUAACCAGGCACCUCCUUCCAUUCCAGCAUGAGGGCCUGGAAGCCCCUCUUUCUUGCACAUGCACAUGCCAUGCUGGGGAGCGGCAAUGGGAGUUCCGAAAUACUGAACAUUUAUCUAGAGACUGAGUCACUUAAAGCAACUGCUGAAAUUAUUGAAACAGACUGUUUUCUAAUCUAGACUAAAAUAUACUAUAUUUUUCUCUCUAUCCAUCAGUCCAUUGUAAUGAAAAUUUAAUCAAUUACUUAAAGCAAUAAAAGAAACUACAUUUUUAUUGUACAACUUACUGAAGUGUGAGGAAAUGGGUGGAUCCUUCCCACUUUGUAUCCUCUCUACCGUUCUCUACUUCCAAGGUAACUGAGGUGACUUAACAAUGAAACAAGUCAGAAAUGUCCUGAUAGAGACCAAAGGAAGACAAUAUUUCAGACUCCUCUGGUGAGUAUAUAAAUCUUGAGCAAUAAUUGGGUACUAAAUUAUUUGACAUCUAAAAUGGCAAUAAAAGACAUUGUGUUAAAUCCUUAUUUAUUUAAAAUAAAACAGAUUUAUUGAAAGAAAUGAACUAUUUCUGAAACUCAAAAAAUAUAUAAUAGUUUAUCACAAGGGUGCUUCUGUAAAGUAUAUUGAGUGACAUGCAGAAAAAUAGAUCAGAUUUUCUGAGAUAGCGAAAUGGUGUUUAAGUGUGACCUAAAGUCUGUGUGACUUCACAUUUCCUAGCUUUCUGCUUCUAUCUCCUCCAAAAUGUUGUACACUACAGCUUCACCUUGUGCCACACACCACUCAUCCGUUUUUUUAUUGCUUCUGGACGAACGAUUAUUUUUAGCAAUGACCUGCAAGCCUUUUCGAGAAUGCUUAGAUCAACUUGCCAGAAUGUCUUGCUUCAUGCACAGACCCAGAUUCUAGUCUCACCAGGCUUCUCUCUGAAUAUUUUGAACAUUCAAAUGCAACUUUAGAUUUGUGUCCAACUCUUUCUUUCCUAAAUCUAACUCUCCUGACAAGAAUUCUCCCACAAAGGUGGUGUCAAAUAUUUUCCAAUCUAUCAUCAUAAUCUUGAACUAAACUCUUUCAUCAAAUCUACUUGACAGCUGUCAUUUUUUCUAUAUAUAUCCAUAUAACAUUUAUUUUUAUCUGUCAAUUCCCUAUGUCAUUAAAAAUCAAAAUAUAUGAGGAUAGAGGUUGUGUCUAAUUUUCAUCGUAUAUUUCUAAGACAGCAAAAGUUAACCAUUCAGGAGAUGACCAAAAACUUUAUUAAAAUGGGGAAGAAUGUAACACUAACAAAUCUAUUUAGAGGAGAAUGUGUAUUUUCUUAUCACAUUAAAAUCUUUUUUUAAUUCAAAGAAAAUAUCUGAAUUUCAGCGAGUGAUCUGAUUAAGGCAUGAUUUUGUACCUAUGUCUCUUUCUUUCAUUUUAAAGUUUUUUUUCCCCAAGUCUCAAUUAAGUAUUAAAUAUUGUGAUGUUAACACGUACUCUUUCCCUAACACACACUCUCUCUCUCUCUCUCUGUCUCUCUCAAUCUCUCUCUCUCUCUCUCCCUCACAACAACAGCUUUUCUUGAGAAGUCACCUUAAACCAGUGGGCUUGGGAACCUGACUUAAAUGAGCUUUUAGUGAGAAGUGGCAUUUUUGGAAACUUUAGGCUUAAUCUUUUUUGACUUGACAAAAGAACUUCUAAGGGUGGCUCCUGGUACUGUUUCCUGGCCACUUGCUUCUUUUCCUGUGUAGUUGCAUGUUAAACAUGAUGACUUGCUGUAUAGAAGCCAUGUGUUGUCAUAAUGUAACAUCAUUAAACAAAGUGUUUAGAGCAGUUUUAGCUGAGCCAGAACAUGAACAACAAAACCCGCCAAUUACAGUGUCAUUUUGUGUAGUUGUUAAGGUUUCAAAUGUCUCCAACUUUUUCUGGUAGGCCAUAUUGAGCAUGUCACAGUGAACAUCUGAGAUAACGAUUUGCUAGGCAAUGUGCAAUUCUCGCUCCUUUUUUUAAUAUCAGAGAAGAAAGAGUUCUUUAUAAUAAUUUGGCUCAAAUGUCUACACACAUUGCUCCAGCGUCUGUAGCAGCAUGUGUUUCUAGGAUUGUUCUGGAAGAGAAAAUGCAGAAACAGCAGGGAGCAGAAGAUAAACAGGCAAUCCGUGACUCAUUAAAACAAGCAUUGGUCGCCAACAUUGUGGAGUGUGUGAAGACCCCAGAUCCAACUCGCCUAUAAACUUUUUUUUACCAGCUGGACUUAGCAUCUGCCAGAGUUUGGAAAGAGAGAUAAUCUGGUACAAAUGAUUUCAGUGUGUCGCAUUUAUUAACCUGCCACCUUACAUAACUCUGCUGAUUGGGAACUCAGGGAAAUGUUUGAGCAAUGACACAGCUUAUUGUUGGAAUGUUACAACUUUACUAAUAAAGAUGCAAGUUACUGUUUAAAAAAAAAUACAAAGACCACAGAGCAAUUGGAAAAUAAAAAUGAAGCAAAGCUAAAAAGCAUCAUGGUCUUGAGAAAUGUACGUGCCAGAAAAAUAAUUGAAAUUCAGUUUGAAUUUUGAUCAUUUUCAGUGCUUUACAUCAAUUAGGCAGGAAAAGUAUUUUAUUUUUAAAUAGUUGUCACAUUAGUUUGUCUUAACAGCUUUGAUGUAAAUAAAUGCCAAACUGGGAGCAUUAUCAUGUCCUUUCCAAACUACUUACUGUUCUAAAUGAAUGAUUCGCUUCUGUUGUUAAAUCUCUGACAAUUGCUAGAAGGGCAUUUUCACAGUAGAACUGAAGGAAAAGUAAAAUAGUGCCCAUUUUUGUUUAUAUACAAAACCGUGUCCAUUUUUGUCUUAAACAGCCUGCCUGGCUUCACAGUUUAUUAAAGACAAAGAACAUUACCCCAGGAAUAAAAUCAGUACCGAUAACCUGCAUACUUUUCAUUCUUGGGCUUUGAUUUACUUCCUUUUUUGCCUCAAAGUUUGCUUGGGAUCAUUUGGUCAAGAGGUGGAAACACCAAAGAGCAAUUUUCUUUUUUCUAUUUCUUAUCCAGAUCUCAUGCCAGUAAUUUCAAAUUAAUGAGGAUGUUUACUCUCUGGUACAAAAUUUGCACAUACUAGCUUAUAAAAUAUGGAUAAGCUGGUUUCCUAUAACAAAAUAUAGCCCUACCAUUUCAAAAAUGAAAACUGCAGAGACUUUGGAAAAAAAUCAGCUGAAGGAAUUCUUCACGUUUCACAAUGGUUAGCCUAUUAUUUGUAGUUUUGAAACUUUAUUGGUCCCCAAUCUAAUCUUUUCUGAGUAUAAAAACAUUAACAUAUGGUUUAACACAGCACAGGGCUGGAAAGUCCAUAUCCCAAAUGCAUAUUGUAUGCAGGGUGACAUUCACACUAAAUACCAUCCCUCAGGGUCUGUACUCCAUUUUACCUGGGAUUGGAGAGCCAUGAAAUCCCUGGAAAAGUUGUUCAUGAGUCUGAACCAAAUGGUGUGCAGUGUACUGAGAUACUAACAGUCUAUGCUUCUGCCAAAGGUUGCGGCUCAAAUGUCUCUCUAAGUAACAUUAAAAAUCUGCUGCUUCAUGCCUAUGAAUUUCAAUAUUUAUAGCAUUCAAUAAAACGGUCCACUGUCAGAGAGAGAUGUGCCACUGUGCACUCUCUGAGCAGAUGGGCGGCAAUAUGGCACAUUUACAUGGACCAGCUGUGGAGCGCAGAAAUGGAUGCUGGUCAGGGGCAAGGUGCAGGCCCCACAUCUGGAAUUCUAACCGACUGGCCUCGGUACCCAUUGUAAACUUUCCUUCCACAGGGUGAGCUCUGAUUUAGAGCUGCUCACUAGUGUGCCUUAAACUGCAUCAAGAGUCCUCAUUAACGCAAGAGACUAGAGGGAGGUUAGGGCCUGGAAUCCCUCUGUCGGGCAUCUGUUAGAGUCUGUGGAUGGCACUCUGUAGUCGUUAUAGAUGCACCCAGGGGAAGAUUCUCUCAGGCAUGAUGCAGUGUUCUCUAUUUAACUGAUUUUAUACCCCCAAAAAAGAGGUUUUUAUUAUAAACAGAGCUACUUUUUCCAUAUCCCCUUUUCUAAAUGGAUCAGAAUAUACCUCAGAGAAAGGACAAUUUCUAGAAUAUUUAAAAAUUUCGUAGAAAUGUCGAAUUCUUUUUUCAAGUCUCAAAUGGAACGUUGUCUUAUUUUGGGUAGAAUCAGAAUGGUUCAAAUGCAGUUAGAAGUUUCUAAAAUAUAUGAAAUUCUUAGACUAGCUGUUUUCAUUGUAGUAUCACUAUUCAGACAAUCAAAACAGCUUAGUUGUGUGUCAUUUAAAUAAUUCAACUGACUUGAUAGAAAGGUAAGCUGCUUUUGACAUUUUAAAUAUGAACAAGAAAUGGUUUGUUACAUUCAAAUACUCAUCAGAAAUAACAUUCCUGUUUCAUUUUCAAUAAAUACUUUUAAGAGAAAGUUCUACUCAUUCUUUCAUUUUGUAAAAUAAUCUUUCCCACAUUUUCCAAUUAUUGACUAAGAUGUAUUUGGUCUUCAGUGGUCCCAUCUCUUGAAUAGUUGUUUAUAUCCUUACGUUACUGAGUAUUCAUUUUCUAUGACAAUCUCUCAAGAUCUAUUCCAGUCUCCUUUCACCCCCAAGAGAAACGCAGGUAUUUUAAGCAAGUGAGACAAUACAACUCGUUAUCAAAUGGGUUAUGGUAACUCAAUCAUGUAAUGUAUGGAUAUUUUAGGGUCUCAUCAUUCAACACUCAACUUUAAAACUACUCUGAAAUCUAAACAUAGAUAUGUAUUUAUGCUAUUUGGCCUCAAUCUUCAAAAAGGAAAAUUUUGGCCAGGCGCGUUGGCUCACGCCUGUAAUUCCAGCACUUUGAGAGGCCGAGGGGGGCAGAUCACCUGAGGUCAGGAGUUCGAGACCAGCCUGGCCAACACGGAGAAACCCCAUCUCUACCAAAAGUACAAAACUAGCCAGGCGUGGUGGCACGUGCCUGUAAUUCCAGCCACGCAGGAGGCUGAGGCAGGAGAAUAGCUUGAA
rnacentral:lncRNA from 1 species